rnacentral:misc_RNA from 1 species
UUCCGCAGUGUACACUUACCGAAGCCUUUGCAGCCGCGCAAGUGGUAGGCCCGAGCGACUAGAAAUAAAUCGGCGUCGUUGCAAGUCCCGCUAGCCUCCUCCCGGGGCUCGGGGCGACACUCUCGAAUUGACGGGGACACCCUAAAGCCAGUCGCACCAACCUGUUGGGGGAAACCUCGCGGGGGCCCGUGGUAAUGACACGGGGGAUGGUAACAGACGACUUGGAUAGUUCUGCACCCGCAGAGAUCAUGGGCAAUCCGCAGCGAAGCCCCUACCGUCCUCUCCCAGGACUAUGGGGAACGUUCACAGACUAAGUGUGAGUGGGUGGGGGUUUACUCCUGCUUAAGAUAUAGUCGGGCCUUCUGAGAAACCAGUAGGGACAAGUACACUGAACAAGAAUUACUGUAAUAAACUUUACUUGAAACCGUUCCGUAGGUGAACCUGCGGAAGGAUCAUUACUGAGUGCGGGUUCUGUUCGAGCCCAACCUCCCACCCGUGUUUACCGUGACCAUGUUGCUUUGGCGGGCCCACUAGGGCUCCCCUCUGGUCGCCGGGGGGCUCCUGCCCCCGGGCCCGUGCCCGCCGAAGCGCCUGUGAACCCUGUCUGAAUAGUGAGUCUGAGUGUGGGAUGAAUCAUUAAAACUUUCAACAACGGAUCUCUUGGUUCCGGCAUCGAUGAAGAACGCAGCGAAUUGCGAUAAGUAAUGUGAAUUGCAGAAUUCCGUGAAUCAUCGAAUCUUUGAACGCACAUUGCGCCCCCUGGAAUUCCGGGGGGCAUGCCUGUCCGAGCGUCAUUUCUGCCCUCCAGCGCGGCUGGGUGUUGGGUGUUGUCCCCCCGGGGACAUGCCCCAAAGGCAGUGGCGGCGCCGCGUCGGGUCCUCGAGCGUAUGGGGCUCUGUCACUUGCUCGGGACGGACCUGCGGGCGUCGGUCUUCCCCCAUGCAGUCUCCCGGAAGGGAGGGU